rnacentral:lncRNA from 1 species
ACUCCAAAGCUCGAAUAUCUUGUAUACGAGUUUGAGAGAUCGGUAGGCAAGCAACCCAUCCUAGUCUCCUACCGACUGAUUUCCACAGCAAACGAAAAGUACCAUGGGUUGGGAUGGUCAUUACAAGAUUGCAAUCUAGUCCAUGAUAUGAUUGCAAAGUAUGUAUCAAGACUGACGGAUGGAUGCGCAAUCUACAAGGCUUUGGAUUGGACAUAAUCCGUCCAAAUUGUGUCGAGCCGUCGACAGUAAAACAGGCGCU